rnacentral:rRNA from 1 species
GAUGAACGCUGGCGGCGUGCUUAACACAUGCAAGUCGAACGAUGAAGCCCAGCUUGCUGGGUGGAUUAGUGGCGAACGGGUGAGUAACACGUGAGUAACCUGCCCUUGACUCUGGGAUAAGCCUGGGAAACUGGGUCUAAUACUGGAUAUGACUUCUCAUCGCAUGGUGGGGGGUGGAACGAUUUAUUGGUCUUGGAUGGACUCGCGGCCUAUCAGCUUGUUGGUGGGGUAAUGGCUCACCAAGGCGACGACGGGUAGCCGGCCGGAGAGGGUGACCGGCCACACUGGGACUGAGAAACGGCCCGAAUUCCUCCGGGAGGCAGAAGUGGGGAUUAUUGCACAAGGGGCGCAAGCCUGAUGAAGCGACGCCGCGUGAGGGAUGACGGCCUUCGGGUUGUAACCCUUUUUCAGUAGGGAAGAAGCGAGAGUGACGGUACCUGCAGAAGAAGCGCCGGCUAACUACGUG